CUGAGUUGUGGUGGUGAUCACAAGUUUGUCUUUUGCUGCUGAUCUUCCAGUAUCCUGACCUGGCUGACUCUCCACUCCUGUCAUGGCUCCCCAUCCAUCCUGGAGCUGAACACCAGAUGGGAGCUGAUGGAUUGUCCUUGGUGGGCCAUCUUCUUGUGUCUGAUGAGAGGGCCAGGAGCAGAUGCACCACGCCUGGCCAGGACCGGGCUAAACAGCCUGUAAUGCUAGACAGUCAGCCCGUGAGGCCAGUUUGCAGAAUGUGGAAGAGCCCUUUGGCGAUGCGUUGGAGGAUUCACCAUGAAGGCGGCAGCAGCGGCAGUGCCUGGGUCCCCA